UACGUAGGUGGCAAGCGUUGUCCGGAUUUACUGGGUGUAAAGGGCGUGUAGCCGGGAAGGCAAGUCAGACGUGAAAUCUGGAGGCUCAACCUCCAAACUGCAUUUGAAACUGCUUUUCUUGAGUAUCGGAGAGGUAAUCGGAAUUCCAGGUGUAGGAGUGAAAUCCGUAGAUAUCUGGAGGAACAUCAGUGGCGAAGGCGGCCUGCUGGACAUCAACUGACGCUGAGGCGCGAAAGCGUGGGUAGCAAAC
rnacentral:rRNA from 1 species